rnacentral:rRNA from 1 species
AGAGAGAGACAUGCGCGCAUAUCAAUAAGCGGAGGAAAAGAAACUAACAAGGAUUCCCUUAGUAACGGCGAGUGAAGCGGGAAGAGCUCAAAUUUGAAAUCUUCAAGGUUUUACCUUGACGAAUUGUAGUUUAAAGAAGUGUUUUCUGCUGAAGUUUUGGUAAAAGUUCUUUGGAAUAGGACAUCAUAGAGGGUGAGAAUCCCGUAUUUGACCAUUAUUUUCAGCUUUGUGAUACACUUUCAAAGAGUCGGAUUGUUUGGGAAUGCAGUCCAAAAUGGGUGGUAAAUUUCAUCUAAAGCUAAAUAUUGGCGAGAGACCGAUAGCGAACAAGUACCGUGAGGGAAAGAUGAAAAGAACUUUGAAAAGAGAGUUAAACAGUACGUGAAAUUGUCAAAAGGGAAGCGUUUGACACCAGUGUUGUUUUCUCGAAAAUCAAUUAAAAAUGGCUCGAUUUGUAUUGUUGAGACCUUAAAAGCUCGCUGUACAUUUUUCGUGUCUUUUUUAAUGCACUUUUCGUUUAACAAGUCAACAUCAGUUUCUUUUGUUGUAAAAGGGUCAUUGGAAGGUGGCUUUCUUUUCGGAGAAAGUGUUUAUAGCCUUUGGCCUCUGCAAUCGGAGAGACUGAGGUCUGCAGCGUAGACUCUUCGGGGUUAGAUACAUUUGUGCUAAGUUAUAGCUUUUUAUAGACAACUUGUUGACUAUAAUUAGUCUUGUAGCUUACUCGCUUAUGCUAUUUUACCUACGCUUAGGAUGUUGAGUCGUAGAGCACGCAG